rnacentral:rRNA from 1 species
UUAAGUUAUUAAGGGCGCACGGUGGAUGCCUUGGCACUAGAAGCCGAUGAAGGACGUUACUAACGACGAUAUGCUUUGGGGAGCUGUAAGUAAGCUUUGAUCCAGAGAUUUCCGAAUGGGGAAACCCAGCAUGAGUUAUGUCAUGUUAUCGAUAUGUGAAUACAUAGCAUAUCAGAAGGCACACCCGGAGAACUGAAACAUCUUAGUACCCGGAGGAAGAGAAAGAAAAUUCGAUUCCCUUAGUAGCGGCGAGCGAAACGGGAAGAGCCCAAACCAACAAGCUUGCUUGUUGGGGUUGUAGGACACUCUAUACGGAGUUACAAAGGACGACAUUAGACGAAUCAUCUGGAAAGAUGAAUCAAAGAAGGUAAUAAUCCUGUAGUCGAAAAUGUUGUCUCUCUUGAGUGGAUCCUGAGUACGACGGAGCACGUGAAAUUCCGUCGGAAUCUGGGAGGACCAUCUCCUAAGGCUAAAUACUCUCUAGUGACCGAUAGUGAACCAGUACCGUGAGGGAAAGGUGAAAAGCACCCCGGAAGGGGAGUGAAAUAGAACCUGAAACCGUGUGCUUACAAGUAGUCAGAGCCCGUUAAUGGGUGAUGGCGUGCCUUUUGUAGAAUGAACCGGCGAGUUACGAUUUGAUGCAAGGUUAAGCAGUAAAUGUGGAGCCGUAGCGAAAGCGAGUCUGAAUAGGGCGUUUAGUAUUUGGUCGUAGACCCGAAACCAGGUGAUCUACCCUUGGUCAGGUUGAAGUUCAGGUAACACUGAAUGGAGGACCGAACCGACUUACGUUGAAAAGUGAGCGGAUGAACUGAGGGUAGCGGAGAAAUUCCAAUCGAACCUGGAGAUAGCUGGUUCUCUCCGAAAUAGCUUUAGGGCUAGCCUCAAGUGAUGAUUAUUGGAGGUAGAGCACUGUUUGGACGAGGGGCCCCUCUCGGGUUACCGAAUUCAGACAAACUCCGAAUGCCAAUUAAUUUAACUUGGGAGUCAGAACAUGGGUGAUAAGGUCCGUGUUCGAAAGGGAAACAGCCCAGACCACCAGCUAAGGUCCCAAAAUAUAUGUUAAGUGGAAAAGGAUGUGGCGUUGCCCAGACAACUAGGAUGUUGGCUUAGAAGCAGCCAUCAUUUAAAGAGUGCGUAAUAGCUCACUAGUCGAGUGACACUGCGCCGAAAAUGUACCGGGGCUAAACAUAUUACCGAAGCUGUGGAUUGUCCUUUGGACAAUGGUAGGAGAGCGUUCUAAGGGCGUUGAAGCAUGAUCGUAAGGACAUGUGGAGCGCUUAGAAGUGAGAAUGCCGGUGUGAGUAGCGAAAGACGGGUGAGAAUCCCGUCCACCGAUUGACUAAGGUUUCCAGAGGAAGGCUCGUCCGCUCUGGGUUAGUCGGGUCCUAAGCUGAGGCCGACAGGCGUAGGCGAUGGAUAACAGGUUGAUAUUCCUGUACCACCUAUAAUCGUUUUAAUCGAUGGGGGGACGCAGUAGGAUAGGCGAAGCGUGCGAUUGGAUUGCACGUCUAAGCAGUAAGGCUGAGUAUUAGGCAAAUCCGGUACUCGUUAAGGCUGAGCUGUGAUGGGGAGAAGACAUUGAGUCUUCGAGUCGUUGAUUUCACACUGCCGAGAAAAGCCUCUAGAUAGAAAAUAGGUGCCCGUACCGCAAACCGACACAGGUAGUCAAGAUGAGAAUUCUAAGGUGAGCGAGCGAACUCUCGUUAAGGAACUCGGCAAAAUGACCCCGUAACUUCGGGAGAAGGGGUGCUCUUUAGGGUUAACGCCCAGAAGAGCCGCAGUGAAUAGGCCCAAGCGACUGUUUAUCAAAAACACAGGUCUCUGCUAAACCGUAAGGUGAUGUAUAGGGGCUGACGCCUGCCCGGUGCUGGAAGGUUAAGAGGAGUGGUUAGCUUCUGCGAAGCUACGAAUCGAAGCCCCAGUAAACGGCGGCCGUAACUAUAACGGUCCUAAGGUAGCGAAAUUCCUUGUCGGGUAAGUUCCGACCCGCACGAAAGGCGUAACGAUUUGGGCACUGUCUCAACGAGAGACUCGGUGAAAUCAUAGUACCUGUGAAGAUGCAGGUUACCCGCGACAGGACGGAAAGACCCCGUGGAGCUUUACUGUAGCCUGAUAUUGAAAUUCGGCACAGCUUGUA